GAAGCUGUCCUGUCUGAUGGGAAAAGUUUGGUCGUUGUCAUCUACAAUUCCCUAGGGUGGAAGAGAGAAGAAGUAAUACGAAUUCCUGUUUCCACUGACAGAAUUAGUGUUCAGGAUUCUAGUGGGA